AUACGUAGGUGGCAAGCGUUGUCCGGAAUUAUUGGGCGUAAACCGCGCGCAGGUGGUUCCUUAAGUCUGAUGUGAAAGCCCCCGGCUCAACCGGGGAGGGUCAUUGGAAACUGGGGAACUUGAGUGCAGAAGAGGAUAGUGGAAUUCCAAGUGUAGCGGUGAAAUGCGUAGAGAUUUGGAGGAACACCAGUGGCGAAGGCGACUGUCUGGUCUGUAACGGACACUGAGGCGCGAAAGCGUGGGGAGCAAACAGGAUAGAUACCCUGGUAGUCCACGCCGUAAACGAUGAGUGCUAAGUGUUGGGGGGUUUCCGCCCCUCAGUGCUGCAGCUAACGCAUUAAGCACUCCGCCUGGGGAGUACGGUCGCAAGACUGAAACUCAAAUGAAUUGGCGGGG
rnacentral:rRNA from 1 species